rnacentral:lncRNA from 1 species
GAGAAGAUGAAGAUUCUGGCGGACCUAUGAAGGUUCCGGCCAGAUCUUCAUCUUCCCCGCCCGUUCAUCCAUGAAUCCGGCGGAGGAAGUUAGAGAGAGAUGAGAGAAGUGAGAAGUUAGAGAGAGAAAGAACAAUAGCAAAUGAAAAAACCGGCGCUCCCCUCCUUUUAUAGGCCAGUGAACCGGACCGGUCCAAGACCGGUCCAAUUCCCUUCAUUCCUGGCCGUUUGAUCUAGGGUUUGAUCCCUUGGAUCAAUCCUGUGGUUCCUGUGCGUCCGGACCUCUUAGGCUUGGGCUUGGGCUUUUUCCUUUUGGUUUUGCUGCGUUUUUGCUAUUUUCUUGCUAUUCACACCAUGCUUUCUUGCUGUUUGAACCACUGUUCGUUCUAAUUUUCUCGUAAAAAUUCCUAAAAAAUUUCUAUGUGUUUCUUGAUACAUUUUUGACUAUUUUGUGAUUUUUUUUUCAUGUUAUAAAAUUGAUAAAAAUAUAUGUAUUGCUUUCUUGAUUAUUUUCUUUUCUUUAGUUGAAUUUCAUGCAAUUUCUCGUUUUUUCCGUUCGUGAUAUCUUGAUCUAUGAUAUGAACGUUCAAUGUGCAAUUUCAUGAUAAAUGCCACUGUUUGUGUGUGUGUUUUGCUGUUUUCAACAUGAUUUGUUAAUUUCUUGCCUUGCAAGUAUUACUUUCCUCUUUGUAUUGUGGUUAUUGUCGUCAUUUUUUACCGUUUACCAUAUAUUCCUUUGUUUGCUCUCUUCGCCAUAUUUUCAUGCCUUAUUUUACUAACCAUUUUUUGUUCUAUGUCUCAUCCAUUUUAUAGCAUUUCAUCAUUUCAUUCCUAUUCAUUUUUUUUUUUUAGGUGGACAUGUAAUAAUUCUAGGUAGUUUAAUUUCCUUUUAGUUUCUUGCAAGACCAUAGCAUGUAAACUAGGGCAAAGUGUAAAGGACAAUGGACUCUCUAUAAUGAUGUACACCGACACAAGCACCGACACGCACACACGUUGUAUGUUUACCGCUUAGAUGUAUGUUUAGGAAACGCAAUACUUAGAAAAAAUAUCAUUUUCCCGGAAAUAACUCCAUAACUCAAAUCUUUCCUAAUAAACCUUGGAGUCAAAACUCCAUUGUAUUUUCCUUUAUUUUCUUAAUCAAAUUCAAAUGAAUCUUAAUUUCUACUUAGACAUUUUUUUGUUAAUAAUUGAACCAACAAUUCACUAUCUUUUCCUCUCAUGCCUUUACGGCCUCUUUCUCAUCUUCAAAACCAUUUUCAAAAACUAAAAUCAAUUGAAACACACCAAAAAUACUUUUGGAAGAGAACUACAUGGAAUUUUGAUCCCUUAAAAGGGUAUGUAGGCAAGAGGUCAAAACCUCUCCAAGUCGAAUAAAAUAAAAUCUCAAACAUUUCCUCCCUCCAUUCUUAAACUCUUUUCAAUAAAUAAGCAUAAAAAUAAAGCGUAGACAUAAAGCUAGGAAAGCGGUUCCUAUAGAAUACUAUAGUCGUUACGGGUGCCUAACACCUUCCUGUAACGAAAAUGACCCCCGAACUUAGAGUUUCUAAGGGUUUUCUCAAUUUUACCCUUCCCAAGAAAAAAUAGAGAAUAUCAAAGAUUUAAAGGUUCAAGCCUAAUUAAUGACUUGAUACCCCAAAAUCGUGAUAACAACCCCUUCAUCUCCAUAUUCUUCUGAAGCAGAUUUAGUAUUACCCCAAUCCCCCUUCCCUAGACAAGAAGCAUACCUUAUUGUAAAUGUAUCAAUUAUAUCAAUAAAAUGAGAUGUUAUAUGCUAUAUUUUUGUUCCUUUAUUUUUGUUUAUAUUUUCAUUUAUUUUAUGAUUCUGGCAUCUAAAGAAUAUAAUGUCUUCAAAUACUAAUUAAAUUCGGCGUGAAUUCGAAUAAAAGUUGUGUAUUAAAUAAAUAAAUUUGAAUAAAGACUAAUUAAACCCAUCAUGAAUUCGAAUAAAAAUUGCGUAUUGAAUAAAUAAAUUCGAAUAAAGUCAAUUAGAAUAAAAGCUGUGUAUUGAAUAAAUAAAUUCGAAUAAAGAUUAAUUAAACUCACCUUCGAAUAAAAAUUGAGUAUUGAAUAAAUAAAUUCGAAUAAAGUGACACAAUUACACAAAAUCAAUUAAAAAAUACACAAUUUUAUUUAGUUUUAAUUUCAUCUACAAUACAUUCUCCCUAAAUAUAUGUGGUAUCAUCAUGAUGUUGGAUUUAAAUUAAAUUCUUGAAAGUUUGCCAAAAACGUUGGCAUUGAAUUGUCUUAUACUCAGCGUAGUGAUUUGCAUCGCCCAUUGAAAAGUCAAAAGAAUGAAGAGAACACAACACAUGUAUUCUACAAAAUCAACUCUAUAAGUUAUCACAUCGAAUUCCCUCAUAUAAGAUGAGUCAUCACAUAAAGGAAUGCAUUCCAAGAGGUUGCUUUGAAUUGAAUCUUACUACCCUGCCAACUAACAAGUCUCAAUUGACAGAGGAGCAAAAUUCAAUUCAAAGAAACCUCUUAGAGGUGCAUUCCCGUCAUCACAUAAAGGAAUGCAUUCCAAAAGGUUGUUUUGAACUUAAUCUUACUGUCCUGCCAACUGACAAAUUUCAAUUGAAAGAGGAGCAUGGUCAAGCUCAAAAGAACCUCUUAGAGGUGGAUUCCCUUCCGUGACACUAAUAGUUGAUUCUGCAGAAUACAUGUUGUGUUUUCUUAAUCUUUUGACUUUUCAAAGAGGCUUUCAAAUCACUACAUUCAGUAUAAAACACUUCAAUACCAACAUUUUCAGCAAACUAACAAGAAUUAAACUUAAAUUCCAACAAAAUAAAGACACUAGAUUAUAAUGAUACUACCUAAUCAUAAUCUUCUGGUGGAAUCAAAUUGUUGAGAAUAUCUUCAGGCGAUAUCAGCAACGUGACAAACAUAUCGAUCCACGCGAACAUGUUAUGCUGCCAAAAAAUCGAGAACAUGCUCCCCACGUCGCCGUCGUUCGUUAACUCUAGCCGACUGAACGUUAUUCACCCCUCGUCUAACGUUGGAUGUUUGUACCAAAUGUAUUCUACCCUCCUUGUGUCUCCGGGGUCGAGUCUGAUUUCAUCUAGUUGAUUCUUGAGACCUUUUAACGUGACAUUAAUGUAUCAAACCUUGAACAUUUGAGGAUUUUCAUCGUUGAAGCGUGUGCAAAUAUUGAACAAAUCGACCAUUGUUUCAAAUCUACACAAUAAAAAAAUUAAACAAUCAAUGAAAAACUCAUUCAAACAUUUCAUCAAACACUUGGAGUGCAAAUUAUACAUAAACCCUAAAACUCAUAACUACAACAUAAACAUGCAAACAUCUAAACAAUUAAGCAAUAUAAGUCAUUUACAUGUAACUUUGUAUCAUUUCUUGAAAAAAAAUUAAAAUUAAAACAAAAUCCCUAAAACUAAAAAAAUCUAAUUUAAGAGGAAAAAUCUAACAUAUAAAUAUAAAAAGGUUAAUGGUGUUUGAUUAUGAAAACUUACUUGUUAUUGAAGGAAUUUUGGAUUUGGGUGAUUUGAGAGAGAUUUUGGAGAUUUUAGAUGGAACAUGAGGAAAUGAGGUUUUGUCUGCCUUUAAAACAUCACGCUCCGUGAGUUAACUCACGCAGCGUGACCUAACUCACGCAGUGUAAGUUAAGUCACGCAGGAUUAACACUAGCACGAGUUUAAAAUUUUGGUUGAAAAUAAGCAAAACGUGUUGAAAGAAGAGCAUAAUUCUAGAAGAAAAUAAACUAGUGCAGUAGGUUUGGAAGCUAAAAAUCAAGUUAGUCCAACCUAAAUGGAGUCAGGUCAAACAGGUAAAACAUCAGACGAAAUACAAAAAAGUUUUUUUUUUGAAGGAGACUAAAUACAAAAAGUUAUUAGGUGUUGUAAAUUAUUUUCUUUAUGAAUAAUUUUUCACAAUUUUCCUUAGUUGCUGCUACUCUACAUUUCUCUUGACGGCCAAUGAUGAAAGAGAAAUGAUAUUUGUACAAUUAUUUUUUAACAACUUUUGUGACAACUAUUUCUCUUAUACUUAUGUUAUCCUUUUACUUCCUCUCUUUAUUGCUUUAAUUUUUGUGUCAAUACCUCUUUUUUUUAUAAAAUUAUGGUUGUCCCAAAAAAUUAUCAAUCAAAUGGUUGUUCAAAUAAUACAACUCAUAAGGAAUAACCAAGAUUUUGUAGAGGAAAACACAUGAUGCAUUUGACAAGUUAAUUAAUUAGUUUUUUUUUCUUGGAGCAAGUUAAUUAAUUAGUUAAAAUAGCCACUUUUGGUAAAUGGAAUAUUUAAUCAUUACAACCAAGGUGUAAAAGUAGCCUACCUAAAUUUAUCAAUAAUUAUUUAUUUUUACAAUCAUAACAUAAAUUACUGUAAAUGGAAAUGUUAAAACCAUUGCUAAAAAAAUUGAUUGGAACGUGUUGAAAAUUGAAAGUGGACAAUAAAUAAUUUGGGUGCAUCAAGUUGGGUUCGUUUGUCUCGUUAACGUCACAAACAAUGAUACAAAAGAAGGAAAAUGUCUUUUCAUUUGGUCAUUUUCCCGCUUAAGAAUAUAGUAACUUUGAGUAUCAAAACUGUCCAAAAAUUUAUAUAUAAAUUUAUGAAAACUCCAAAAUUUCACCAUCUCUUCUUGAAGAUUACGAAGCAUAUGAAACGAUAUUCUUAGGGACUGUUUGGAUGAUACUAAAAAAAACACACACAUCAUCGCUAGUAUAAGACAAUUAUAUUCUAGAUUAAUUUUUUUAUGGUGAUAUAGCCCCAAAUAAAAAAUAUCUGGGUACUCCCAUAUCAAAAGAAAAUAAAAUUAAAAUUAAAAUAAUUUAAUAACAUUGAUCAACAUUAUUUAAUCAGAUUAAUCAGUCUUUAAGCAGGAUACUUAGUUUUCAAGAAAAAUUUACCUCAUAUUUUACUCAAAUCAGUAAAAUAUUAUCUAUGAUUAGAAUCGAUUGAUUUUAUUAUCAAUAGAAACAAAUAUCAAAUGAAAUUGAUUAAAUUAGUUUAAUAUAUGAUUUUGUGUGUAAAACAUAUGAAAAAUUUAAUUAAAAUUAAAAUAAGUAACUUACUUGGGUUGGUAUGACGGUGUUGGCUUGAGACUUUAAAACGUGUUUUUCUCAAAAUCUCAAGUUUGAUUCCCACAACCAAUUUCAGUAGGUUAGUUUUGUUUCUUAAAAAAAAAUGAUUUCACUGAAGUACUAUUAUUUACUUUAUACCUCAACAUGCGUUGAACCGCCCUGAUAACACUCGUAAAAUUUAGAUACACUUUAAAAAAUUGAGGAAGAUAAUUAUUACUACCUCCGUCCCUAAUUAUAAGUCAUUUUUGAAAAAAUAACGGGAAUUAAGAUAGUGGAUAUUUGUAUUAAAUAUGUUUGUAAUUACUAUUGUUUUUACAAUUUUAUCCUUUAAGAAAGAGGGUUGGCUUAUGUUUUCAACAUUCUAUUUAUUGCUGAUUGAAGAAAAAUAUGUAUAAUAAAUAGGGGCAUGUAUGUAAAGAAAUAAUUAAUGUAGUUGNNNNNNNNNNNNNNNNNNNNNNNNNNNNNNNNNNNNNNNNNNNNNNNNNNNNNNNNNNNNNNNNNNNNNNNNNNNNNNNNNNNNNNNNNNNNNNNNNNNNNNNNNNNNNNNNNNNNNNNNNNNNNNNNNNNNNNNNNNNNNNNNNNNNNNNNNNNNNNNNNNNNNNNNNNNNNNNNNNNNNNNNNNNNNNNNNNNNNNNNNNNNNNNNNNNNNNNNNNNNNNNNNNNNNNNNNNNNNNNNNNNNNNNNNNGAUUUAUUUUCGGUUUCAAGUCAAAAAUCAACAAACAGAAUCAAAUCGAAGAUUUCUAAAAAAUCUUGUUCGAAAUCUCCGAUUAAAUCACAGGUAAACAUAAAACUCCACCGUUCUUUCUUAAAAAGCAUCAAUAAGGACGAAUCCAUGUAGAUCCUCAAGGUUUCAAACGGUUUCUUUCAAAGAAUUUGAAAACCUAAAAAUAUUUUCAAAACCGUAACAAAAAUGUAGAUCUACAAAGAUUCAAGCCUUGCAUGUGAUUUAUGGCAUUAGAUUCAUGUUUAGGGUGAAGAAACGAGUAGAUUGAUGUAAGAUUCAUGGUUUUCUGGUGAGAUUAGAGGUCGCCGGAAACUGGAGAUCUCACCGGAGAAGAUGAAGAUUACGGCGGACCUAUGAAGGUUCCGACCAGAUCUUCAUCUUCCCCGGCCAUUCAUCCAUGAAUCCGGCGGAGGAAGUUAGAGAGAGAUGAGAGAAGUGAGAAGUUAGAGAGAGAAAGAACAUAAGCAAAUGAAAAAACCGGCGCUCCCUUUCUUUUAUAGGCCAGUGAACCGGACCGGUCCAGGACCGGUCCAAUUCCCUUCAUUCCUGGCCGUUUGAUCUAGGGUUUGAUCCCUUGGAUCAAUCCUGUGGUUCCUGUGCGUCCGGACCUCUUAGGCUUGGGCUUGGGCUUUUU